UUGCUUUGGGAGCAUGUGUACUAAAAUUGGCACAAUACAGAGAAGACUAACAUAGUCUCUGCACAAGGAUGCCAUGCAAAUUUGUGAAGCAUUCAAUAUUUUU